GCCCCUGCUCCCUCGUGCUCCGGGAAGGGCGGCAGCAGCUGCGGGCACCGGGCUCCGAGGAGGGCUCGCCCAAGCACGCGGCUGUGCAGGCGGCCAGCGAGCGAACGGGGAUUCUCUGCGAGCGCUUUUCGCGUGCCCAUGUGGGGCUGCUUCGGGGCGCUGCUGAAGGACCUUGCCCAGUUCAACAAAACCCGUGUUAAAUUAUAGACUUCUGUGCUUCGCUGGAAAGGAGUUGGGACACUGAGUUGUAAGGUGAAGGAAUUACCUCUGCUGAUGAAUAGUCUUUUCCAAAGAAAACAGAAUACUAUUUCUCUUGGAUCAAAAACAAAUUAGGCCAACUUGUAUCCAGUGUUUAUCUGUCACAGAGGACUUCUGUUUACAAGCUAAGAGGGCCACAAGAACAUCUGGGUCCUAUCAUCUGGAUUGCAAGGGCUAUUCUGGUCCACACUGAAUAGUUUCAAUGCAAGGACAGUAUUGAGGAAGAC